ACGCUCGACACCACGGGAGCAGCAGUGGGGAAUAUUGCACAAUGGGGGAAACCCUGAUGCAGCAACGCCGCGUGAAGGAAGACGGUUUUCGGAUUGUAAACUUCUGUUCUUAGUGAAGAUAGUGACGGUAGCUAAGGAGCAAGCCACGGCUAACUACGUGCUAGCAGCCGCGGUAAUCUGAGCGGGCUGGCAAGGC
rnacentral:rRNA from 1 species